rnacentral:snRNA from 1 species
AGCUUUGCGCAGUGGCAGUAUCGUAGCCAAUGAGGUUUAUCUGAGGCGCGAUUAUUGCUAAUUAAAAAUCUAUAUUAUAAUUUCAUUUCCUAGCACUAAGUGUGUGUGUAUGUGUAUUAUACUAGACUUACAAAUUUAUUACUUUGAGAACUUUGCAAUAAAAUAUUUCUU